CCUACGGGGGGCUGCAGUGGGGAAUAUUGGACAAUGGGGGGAACCCUGAUCCAGCCAUGCCGCGUAUGUGAAGAAGGCCCUCGGGUUGUAAAGCACUUUCAGUGAGGAAGAACGCCUGGUGGUUAAUACCCAUCAGGAAAGACAUCACUCACAGAAGAAGCACCGGCUAACUCCGUGCCAGCAGCCGCGGUAAUACGGAGGGUGCGAGCGUUAAUCGGAAUUACUGGGCGUAAAGCGCGCGUAGGUGGCUUGAUAAGCCGGUUGUGAAAGCCCCGGGCUCAACCUGGGAACGGCAUCCGGAACUGUCCAGCUAGAGUGCAGGAGAGGUAGGUGGAAUUCCCGGUGUAGCGGUGAAAUGCGUAGAGAUCGGGAGGAAUACCAGUGGCGAAGGCGGCCUUCUGGACUGAUACUGACACUGAGGUGCGAAAGCGUGGGUAGCAAACAGGAUUAGAUACCCGAGUAGUC
rnacentral:rRNA from 1 species